rnacentral:rRNA from 1 species
GGCCACACUGGGACUGAGACACGGCCCAGACUCCUACGGGAGGCAGCAGUGGGGAAUAUUGCACAAUGGGCGCAAGCCUGAUGCAGCGACGCCGCGUGAGGGAUGACGGCCUUCGGGUUGUAAACCUCUUUCAGCAGGGAAGAAGCGCAAGUGACGGUACCUGCAGAAGAAGCACCGGCUAACUACGUGCCAGCAGCCGCGGUAAUACGUAGGGUGCGAGCGUUGUCCGGAAUUAUUGGGCGUAAAGAGCUCGUAGGCGGCCUGUCGCGUCGGAUGUGAAAGCCCGGGGCUUAACCCCGGGUCUGCAUUCGAUACGGGCAGGCUAGAGUUCGGUAGGGGAGAUCGGAAUUCCUGGUGUAGCGGUGAAAUGCGCAGAUAUCAGGAGGAACACCGGUG